rnacentral:misc_RNA from 1 species
GAUGAAGAACGUAGCGAAAUGCGAUAAGUAAUGUGAAUUGCAGAAUUCAGUGAAUCAUCGAAUCUUUGAACGCACAUUGCGCCCGCUGGUAUUCCAGCGGGCAUGCCCGUUCGAGCGUCAUUUUAAUCCCUUCCCGGGAGACUCUUCUAUUCUGUAGUGGAGUGUCCAUGGGGCGUUGGCAUUGGGCGCCUUAUUUUUAGGCGGCCCGAGCCGAAAUGAAGCGGCGGACUCGCGGCGGCCCCCUAGCGCAGUAGAAUAACCCUUCUCGCUUAGGAGAGCUGCAGCGGCGGACCACAGCCCCUUACAUGCUUUUUUUUUCAAAAAAAAAAAAAGCUACAUCUAAAAACUUGACCUCGGAUCGGGUAGGACUACCCGCUGAACUUAAGCAUAUCAAUAAGCGGAGGA